GGUGAGUGUUGAGAUAGACAAUAGUCACACAAGAGAAGUUGUCUCACUCAACUGCAUCUGAAUUACCCAUAAGAAAAUCCUAUGCUGCCACUUCUGGAAUGUACUUCCUAUUGUUGUUCCAGUAGAAAUGACCUUCCCAUGACAUCUGUCUUCCAGACUCCAAGCAAGUAUCAUCAGACAUUCACCUACUUCACAAGACCAGACGCCAUGCCUAGAAAAUACAUAUUCAUUCUUUUGUAGAAAUGUAUUUUCCAGUCUAGCAAUCUGAGACCUUUUAAAAUAUUUUUACUGCCUACUGGCAAUCUGUUAGUGGAAGAAAAUUGUGAUUUUCAACAGUUACAUGAUCCAGAUAUAUUUAUAAUGAAAAUAAAAUCAUCCACAUCUUUAAAAAUAUAGGGUUUGCUUGUAGUAAAGAAAAUCCAACCAUACUGAGCCUAUAGUCUACUGGGUUUUAAUUAUUUUUUUUUUUUCUAUCUUCUCAAUAGCAACACAGUUAGUUUUUAUGCAAGAAGAAUUAUUUUUUUUAUAUCCCAGCCGUCACAGUCUCUUAUGUCCUUUUCAGUCAACAUCUGAGAUUCAAAUAUUCAGAUAAAAAUACCAGAGUACCUAUACUUGCCCUGUUAACCUGUGAUGAACUUUUUAGGACUUGUUCCCCUCUAAAACAAAACAAUUAUUUCUUACUGAGAUACCUUCCUAACAAGCCCCUUCUGUCCUCAAAUGUAUGUAACUGGCUUGUGCUUAUGCUAAUUUGAUGCUGUAGGAUCCUAACCCCCUACCGAUACAACAAAUUUUAAAAUAUUAACAAAAUUGCUAUAAGCACUGCAAAAAAUGUGGAAUAAAAAGUUGCCAUUUUCCAAAUAUGCCAUUUUUGAAAGCAUGCUGUGGAAUUCUUGGUGUGUGCGUUCAUCUAAUAUCAACUUAUUUUCAAGAUAAUUAUGCAAUUUAAUAAAAGAAACUCUGCAGGAAUACAAUAUAUAUACAUAUAUAUAUAUAUAUUUAAUUUGUCCUCUCAAGUGGAAACAGAAGUAGCUUUUGGUUCCUUAAUCAACUGUGGUUUUCCAAUACUUUCCUACUUAAAUUUAGCAAAGCUUGCAUUUGCCCCUAAAGGAACUUGCAUACAGCUUGGUGCUCAGAAUGUUAGAAAAUGAAGAUACUCUGAGGUCAAUACCUAAAAAACAACUAUCUUUCCUCCAUUCCAGUUCAUUUCUUCUUUAUAAUUCACUAAUACACCCUAAAAUCAGUUUAUAAUACUUUGUACAUUUUCAAAUAACAAACUUCACACUUAUCCUGAUUUAAGUAGAAAUAAAGUAAUAAAUCAG
ensembl:lncRNA